rnacentral:rRNA from 1 species
CCUACGGGAGGCAGCAGUGGGGAAUUUUGGACAAUGGGCGCAAGCCUGAUCCAGCAAUGCCGCGUGCAGGAUGAAGGCCUUCGGGUUGUAAACUGCUUUUGUACGGAGCGAAACGGUCUACUCUAAUACAGUGGGCUAAUGACGGUACCGUAAGAAUAAGCACCGGCUAACUACGUGCCAGCAGCCGCGGUAAUACGUAGGGUGCGAGCGUUAAUCGGAAUUACUGGGCGUAAAGCGUGCGCAGGCGGUUAUAUAAGACAGAUGUGAAAUCCCCGGGCUCAACCUGGGACCUGCAUUUGUGACUGUAUAGCUAGAGUGCGGCAGAGGGGGAUGGAAUUCCGCGUGUAGCAGUGAAAUGCGUAGAUAUGCGGAGGAACACCGAUGGCGAAGGCAAUCCCCUGGGCCUGCACUGACGCUCAUGCACGAAAGCGUGGGGAGCAAACAGGAUUAGAUACCCUGGUAGUCCACGCCCUAAACGAUGUCAACUGGUUNUUGGGUCUUCACUGACUCAGUAACAAAGCUAACGCGUGAAGUUGACCGCCUGGGGAGUACGGCCGCAAGGUUGAAACUCAAAAGGAUUAGACGGACGNGAGAGAGCGACGGACGACGACGAGGGAGGAGGNG